rnacentral:rRNA from 1 species
GUUGAACGCUGGCGGCGUGCCUAAUACAUGCAAGUCGAGCGAACGGACGAGAAGCUUGCUUCUCUGAUGUUAGCGGCGGACGGGUGAGUAACACGUGGAUAACCUACCUAUAAGACUGGGAUAACUUCGGGAAACCGGAGCUAAUACCGGAUGAUAUUUUGAACCGCAUGGUUCAACAGUGAAAGACGGUCUUGCUGUCACUUAUAGAUGGAUCCGCGCUGCAUUAGCUAGUUGGUAAGGUAACGGCUUACCAAGGCAACGAUGCAUAGCCGACCUGAGAGGGUGAUCGGCCACACUGGAACUGAGACACGGUCCAGACUCCUACGGGAGGCAGCAGUAGGGAAUCUUCCGCAAUGGGCGAAAGCCUGACGGAGCAACGCCGCGUGAGUGAUGAAGGUCUUCGGAUCGUAAAACUCUGUUAUUAGGGAAGAACAUAUGUGUAAGUAACUGUGCACAUCUUGACGGUACCUAAUCAGAAAGCCACGGCUAACUACGUG